UUACGGUGUUACAUGUUUGUACAGUAUGUUUUCAGUUAUCCUGUAGAGGACCCCUCUAGUCAAACACCCUUCAGAGAACCCCUCGAUACCUGUAUUUAUUCACCCGAGUUUAGGAUUUCACUCUCUUCGGACCGUGUUCCACGCGAUACAGUAACGCGUGUUCCUGCAAAUUCUCUUUUUGUCAAACUCCUAAGUUAAAGUUAGAAAUUCGUACAGACACGACGUCUGAGGUCCGGUGUAAUGAAUCAUGGUACUUGGUGUUCAACGUAAACCGGACCAAAUGUGAACAUUGCUAGUAACGAAUACCUGAGCCAGCAGUGGAGAAUGACUAUGUACAAUGUCUGAAAUAUAAAGUGAAAACGUU